rnacentral:lncRNA from 1 species
CAGUGAGUAGAAUCAUAAAAACAUAUUAACAAACAUGCUCCAAUAAAAUGCAUCAUAACACAGACAAUUCACAUAAGGGUUGGGUGAACUUGUCACCAAAUAGUCCCAGCAUCAUUCGUGCCAGGCCGUAGCAUGGGGUCCUGGUCUUCCUGUCAUAUCAUACAUUACUUACCAUUGCCCCAGGGCCUCCUCUGGGCUCCUGGUCUUCGAGUCCCAUAUCCGUGCCAGGCCGUAGAAUGGGGUCCUGGUCUUUCAUUUCCGUGCCAGGCCGUAGAAUGGGGUCCUGGUCUUCCCUCAAGGACUAAUUGGGUCAUCCAACAUUCACCCACAUCAACAAUAAAGAAUGCAAUGCAACAUAUUCGUGAAAUCUAAUGCAAUCA